UGAGUAACACGUAUCCAACCUGCCGUCUACUCUUGGACAGCCUCUGAAAGAAGAUUAAUACAAGAUGGCAUCAUGAGUCCGCAUGUUCACAUGAUUAAAGGUAUUCCGGUAGACGAUGGGGAUGCGUUCCAUUAGAUAGUAGGCGGGGUAACGGCCCACCUAGUCUUCGAUGGAUAGGGGUUCUGAGAGGAAGGUCCCCCACAUUGGAACUGAGACACGGUCCAA
rnacentral:rRNA from 1 species